rnacentral:lncRNA from 1 species
GGAGCCAAGCCUGACAGAGAGCAACUGUCGGAUGUGCAGAUUCAGUCCAGAUCUCUCUCUCCCGAUUGCCCCCUGUUCAAGAUUCCUGGGUGAAGAAUGCACCACCGUUGGGAUGCUGUCUGUAAAGCUGGCUGUUUUUGCAUAAGACUCAGCCUGGGCUCAAGGCAGCCCUUCCUCUGCUUGCAUUUCUCUGAAAAUGAAUUCUGCUAGGUAGGAGUGCAGGGUACUCAAAUAGUAGGCACUCAGAAUCUCCUGCUGUGAUUGCUUCUUGCUUCUUCCUUCAUAGAUCAUUAAAAUGCCGCCGAACCAUAGCUGUCCGGAAAGGACAGCUUAAAAAGAGAAAAGUAAAAUAUUUAUAAAUAAUUAAAAUGUAAACCAGU